CUGACCUGAGGUCACUUUGUGGCCAGGAGCUGCGGUGCAGACCAGAGGUGGUGUCUGUGGUGUCCUGCUGCAGUGAAUCCAGUCAGCCAUAAGAUGGCAGUGCAGCUAGCUGCUUUGAGGAGCUAGACCAGUAAAUUUUCAACACAUAACUGCGGAAGCUGGUAGUUUGAAAUGAAACCUGAAAAUACUGGGAAUGCACUACAGGACAGGAAAUAUCUCACAGCCACAGGAUGGACUGCAAUCACACAAGUGUCUGUGCAGUUUCUGGAAAAUUUUAUAAUCUUUGUAAUUGCAUUAUAAUAAAAGUAUGAUUUUGAAACUGCAGUUGAAGCUCAACCAAAGCUUGGACAAUUUAAGGGACUUAAGUAGUUGGGUAGAAUUUCUAUUUUGGGAAAAAGAGUGCAAAUUGUGUUUGAAUUUUGUUGCUUUUUGGAAGUGAGGGUAUAGUUUAAGUUUCCAUAUAAAAUCAUUUCAGUAAUCACAAAUGCAAAAUGCUCAUUGCACCACUAUGUUUAAAUAUAAUUGCUCAUUGUAAUUUAAAAAAUCAUUAAUUUAUUUAAGAGUGAUAAUGGUGCAGUUUUAUUAAUACAUUAGUAAUAUAUUUGUCUCAAAAAAUAAGCUUUUUCAGCAAGAACGUGCAGACCUCAGUUGGCAAAAAAAAAGACAAAUUUAAAAUCACUAAAAGAAUGUGGAAUAAAAACAUGCUAAACUAUUCACUAAUUUCAUUGGUGUGCAUCAAUGUGAGUUACUCUUCACACUGCUAAGUACUAAUUUUGUCACAUCUUUCAUUUGUCAAGUUGUUGGAUGGAUUUUUUUGUUAGCAAGAUAAUUUUAGUGCAGAAAAAAUUUUAAACUGUGUUACUCAUUACUGUCAAAGGAAGGCUGCUUCCUAUGGUGAAGGAGCUGAGGACCAGAGGUCAUGUAUAAAACAAGGGGGAAGAGAAUUAAUAGUGACCUGAGAAGAAAUCUUUUCUUAUGCAGCCAAUUUCACCAACUUGCAUGAAUAGUCCCAACAAUGACAAGGAAACUCUGCCCUGCUGUCUAUGUAAAGUAAAGGUUUUUUGGAGUGUGGUGUGGUGGAUGUGCAAUUCACCAUUGUAGAUUAUGAAUGUCCUGCCCGCUGUUGAUUGACUGUUUCCUGAAAGUAUGCACGUUUGCUCAUUGGUUGAAGACUGCAUCUAGCUGACUGCAAAUCUCACACAA